AAGUCGUACAAGGUAGCCGUACCGGAAGGUGCGGCUGGAUCACCUCCUUUCUACACCACGAAAAGGGUUGGACACUGGGUCUUACCCGAGCCGUGGGAACCGGUUGCCUGUAGUGGGCACGGUUUGGUGCACAACAAACUUUUUUGCUGCCAGACACACUAUUGGGCUUUGAGACAACAGGCCCGUGCCCCUUUUGGGGGGUGGCAUCCGGUUGCGGGUGUCGGCGUGUUGUUGCCUCACUUUGGUGGUGGGGUGUGGUGUUUGAUUUGUGGAUAUGGUUGCGAGCAUC
rnacentral:misc_RNA from 1 species